GACGAACGCUGGCGGCGUGCUUAACACAUGCAAGUCGAGCGGAAAGGCCCUGCUUUUGUGGGGUGCUCGAGUGGCGAACGGGUGAGUAACACGUGAGUAACCUGCCCUUGACUUUGGGAUAACUUCAGGAAACUGGGGCUAAUACCGGAUAGGAGCUCCUGCUGCAUGGUGGGGGUUGGAAAGUUUCGGCGGUUGGGGAUGGACUCGCGGCUUAUCAGCUUGUUGGUGGGGUAGUGGCUUACCAAGGCUUUGACGGGUAGCCGGCCUGAGAGGGUGACCGGCCACAUUGGGACUGAGAUACGGCCCAGACUCCUACGGGAGGCAGCAGUAGGGAAUAUUGCACAAUGGGCGGAAGCCUGAUGCAGCAACGCCGCGUGCGGGAUGACGGCCUUCGGGUUGUAAACCGCUUUCGCCUGUGACGAAGCGUGAGUGACGGUAAUGGGUAAAGAAGCACCGGCUAACUACGUG
rnacentral:rRNA from 1 species